GCGGAAGGUCGGAUGGCCGCGGGGGGCGUGCCCUUCGAGGAAAGUCCGGACUCCCUAAAGCAACGGUGCCGGGUAACGCCCGGACGGGGCAACCCGAUGGACAGCGCCACAGAAAAGAAACCGCCUGCCCAUGGGCCGGUAAGGAUGAAACGGUGGGGUAAGAGCCCACCGCGCGUCUGGCAACAGGCGCGGCACGGCAAGCCCCACCGGGAGCAAUGCCAAAUAGGACCCCCGCGCGGGCAGGUCGGCCCAGGCCGGUACCGCCGCUAGGCCCGCUUUAGCCGAGAGGGGUCGGGUCGGCAGCUUGAGAUCCGCGGGCAACCGCGCGAUCCAGAGGAAUGGUCAUCAUCGGGCGGGUUCGCCCGCUCGACACAGAAUCCGGCUUACAGGCCUUCCGCGCAG
rnacentral:RNase_P_RNA from 1 species